rnacentral:misc_RNA from 1 species
GAUGAAGAACGUAGCGAAAUGCGAUAGGUAAUGUGAAUUGCAGAAUUCAGUGGAUCAUCGAAUCUUUGAACGCACAUUGCGCCCCUUGGUAUUCCGAGGGGCAUGCCUGUUCGAGCGUCAUUUCAACCCUCAAGCUCUGCUUGGUCUUGGGCCUGGCCGUGAUGGCCGGUCUUAAAAUCAGUGGCGGUGCCGUCGCAGGCUCCAAGCGUAGUACAUCUCUCGCUCUGGAAACUUGGCGGUGCCUGCCAGACAACCCCUAAUUGUCUCUUUCGGUUGACCUCGGAUCAGGUAGGGAUACCCGCUGAACUUAAGCAUAUCAAUAAGCGGAGGA